rnacentral:rRNA from 1 species
GACGAACGCUGGCGGCGUGCUUAACACAUGCAAGUCGAACGGAAAGGCCCUGCUUUUGUGGGGUGCUCGAGUGGCGAACGGGUGAGUAACACGUGAGUAACCUGCCCUUGACUUUGGGAUAACUUCAGGAAACUGGGGCUAAUAUCGGAUAGGAGCUCCUGCUGCAUGGGGGGGGUUGGAAAGUUUCGGCGGUUGGGGAUGGACUCGCGGCUUAUCAGCUUGUUGGUGGGGUAGGGGCUUACCAAGGCUUUGACGGGUAGCCGGCCUGAGAGGGUGACCGGCCACAUUGGGACUGAGAUACGGCCCAGACUCCUACGGGAGGCAGCAGUGGGGAAUAUUGCACAAUGGGCGGAAGCCUGAUGCAGCAACGCCGCGUGCGGGAUGACGGCCUUCGGGUUGUAAACCGCUUUCGCCUGUGACGAAGCGUGAGUGACGGUAAUGGGUAAAGAAGCACCGGCUAACUACGUG